rnacentral:rRNA from 1 species
AGAGUUUGAUCCUGGCUCAGGACGAACGCUGGCGGCGUGCCUAACACAUGCAAGUCGAGCGAAGUAUAUUUAAGUGAAGUUUUCGGACAGAACUUAAAUAUAUCUUAGCGGCGGACGGGUGAGUAACGCGUGAGCAACCUGCCUUUCACAAAGGGAUAGCCUCGGGAAACUGGGAUUAAUACCAUAUGAAACUUAACUUUCGCAUGAAAGAUAAGUCAAAGCGAAUAAGCGGUGAAAGAUGGGCUCGCGUCCUAUUAGCUAGUUGGUGAGGUAACGGCUCACCAAGGCGACGAUAGGUAGCCGGCCUGAGAGGGUGAACGGCCACACUGGAACUGAGACACGGUCCAGACUCCUACGGGAGGCAGCAGUGGGGGAUAUUGCACAAUGGAGGAAACUCUGAUGCAGCGACGCCGCGUGAGUGAAGAAGGCCUUCGGGUCGUAAAGCUCUGUCCUAGGGGAAGAUAAUGACGGUACCCUAGGAGGAAGCCCCGGCUAACUACGUGCCAGCAGCCGCGGUAAUACGUAGGGGGCGAGCGUUGUCCGGAAUUACUGGGCGUAAAGAGUUCGUAGGCGGUCUGAUAAGUCAGAUGUGAAAGGCGUAGGCUUAACCUAUGUAAGCAUAUGAAACUGUCAGACUUGAGGUAAGGAGAGGAAAGUGGAAUUCCUAGUGUAGCGGUGAAAUGCGUAGAUAUUAGGAGGAAUACCAGUGGCGAAGGCGACUUUCUGGACUUAAACUGACGCUGAGGAACGAAAGCGUGGGGAGCAAACAGGAUUAGAUACCCUGGUAGUCCACGCCGUAAACGAUGAGUGCUAGGUGUCGGGUAGAAAUAUUCGGUGCCGCAGCUAACGCAAUAAGCACUCCGCUGGGGAGUACGUACGCCAGUAUGAAACUCAAAGGAAUUGACGGGGACCCGCACAAGCAGCGGAGCAUGUGGUUUAAUUCGAAGCACGCGAAGAACCUUCCAGGGCUUGACAUGCCCCUGACCGCGCUAGAGAUACGAAUUAUUCUUUCGGGGAUACAGGGNACACAGGUGGUGCAUGGUUGUCGUCAGCUCGUGUCGUGAGAUGUUGGGUUAAGUCCCGCAACGAGCGCAACCCUUGUAUUUAGUUGCCAGCAUUAAGUUGGGCACUCUAGAUAGACUGCCGUGGACAACACGGAGGAAAGUGGGGAUGACGUCAAAUCAUCAUGCCCUUUAUGUCCUGGGCUACACACGUGCUACAAUGGUCGGUACAACGAGCAGCAAGCUAGCGAUAGCAAGCGAAUCUCUAAAAGCCGAUCCCAGUUCGGAUUGUAGGCUGCAACUCGCCUACAUGAAGUCGGAGUUGCUAGUAAUCGCGAAUCAGCAUGUCGCGGUGAAUGCGUUCCCGGGUCUUGUACACACCGCCCGUCACACCAUGGGAGUUGUCAAUACCCGAAGCCAGUGAGCUAACCAGAAAUGGAGGCAGCUGUCGAAGGUAGGGGCAAUGACUGGGGUGAAGUCGUAACAAGGUAGCCGUAUCGGAAGGUGCGGCUGGAUCACCUCCUU